GCCUUGUUACGGCUAUCGAGAUUCGACUAAGCCAUGGCGAAGUUGAAUGUUCCUUCCGUGAACAUGGCGGAMUGCUCAGUAACACGUGGGACAACCUACCCUUGGGUCCGGGCAUAAUCCUGGGAAACUGGGAAUAAUUCCGGAUAGGUCACCGAUGCUGGAAUGCGCGGUGGCCGAAAGCUCCGGCGCCCGAGGAUGGGUCUGCGGCCUAUCAGGGUUGUAGUGGGUGUAACGUACCUACUAGCCUACGACGGGUACGGGUUGUGAGAGCAAGAGCCCGGAGAUGGAUUCUGAGACACGAAUCCAGGCCCUACGGGGCGCAGCAGGCGCGAAACCUUUACAAUGCGGGCAACCGUGAUAAGGAAACCCCGAGUGCCCGUAAGAGCGGGCUGUCCAUCUGUUUAACCAGCAGGUGAAGAAAGGGCCGGGCAAGACCGGUGCCAGCCGCCGCGGUAAYACCGGCGGCCCGAGUGGUAACCGCUAUUAUUGGGUCUAAAGGGUCUGUAGCCGGCCAGGUAAGUCCCUUGGGAAAUCUGGCAGCUCAACUGUCAGGCUGCUAGGGGAUACUGUUUGGCUUGGGACCGGGAGAGGUGAGAGGUACCUUGGGGGUAGGGGUGAAAUCUUGUGAUCCUCGAGGGACCACCAGUGGCGAACGCGUCUCACCAGAACGGGUCCGACGGUAAGGGACGAAAGCUAGGGGCACGAACCGGAUUAGAUACCCCGGGUAGUCCUAGCCGUAAACGAUGCUCGCUAGGUGUCAGUCACGG
rnacentral:rRNA from 1 species